rnacentral:misc_RNA from 1 species
CAAAAAACCACUCUUCAUUCUCCUCUUAUUCCUCUACUCCACAUUCUCAUUUCCACGCAUCAAUGAUAAGAAUGUCAUUCUGACAAGUUAAAGUAGUAGUAAGGUUGUUAAGCAACUUUCACAGUGAUAGAAAAUAGGAAGAAAGAGAGAGGACAAGCAAAAGAGAGAGUACAAACAAGUGAAAGAGAAGAAUAGCCAAAGCUAAACCUAGCCACUUUUGGCCAUAACUUAAGGGCACUGAAGCUUGGGAAGUAAACCUCAAUGCAAAUUGGAACCCCAGCAGCCAUUUCCCGACCAUAAGUUUGCUAGAAAUGAUGGAAAGAGAGAGAGAGAGAGAG